GGCUCGGUGGUGGAUGGUCAACACCUGCAGAAAGUUCACAUUCUGGUUGUGAAACCUUGCGGAGCAGGAAGAGCCUGUUCGAAUCAGGCCCGAGCCC